AGAAUCGCAUGCUAACAGCAAUCUGCAGAAGCUUGACCAGCAACUCCAAUCCCUCUCUCAGAACCCUUGGUAGGAGCGCCCGUCCCUACCUCCUCCCCUCUCCUUCUUACUUUGGGGCAGUCUUAAAUUUCCAUGGUCUUAUAGGAGAGGAAAUCAUGCCCUUUUACUCCAACAAUGGGAAAGUCUACUUUCACCAGAUGGAAAGCUUUGAGAUGGAAUGAAGUUUUUGUAGAAAGUCUGCAGUCUCAGGUGAGAGACUCCUGAUGUUGCAUGCCUGCACACUUCUUUGAUCUAUUUUCUCCCAUUGCUUGUCAUAUAAUAACCAUGGACUAUUUGCAGGUUCUUGACGAAGCUGAUCGAAUGCUUGACAUGGGAUUCGAGCAAGAAGUUCGCUCCAUAUUGAGCUGGACAUCCUCUAGUAUGUGAUUUGUACAAAAACCAUGAAAGAGUUUUGUUGGUUUUUGUUGUAGAAUGAGAUAUUCAUGGACAUGAAUCCCAAUGAGCAAUGUUGCAAAACAAUCUAUGGGAGGGACACAUUUUCUCUAUUUUGUUUCUGUUGCAAUGUAUUUUCCUUUUGUUCCUAGAUAUGGAUAUAUAGAAACGGCUUCGAGUCUUUUCUCAUAGCUGUUGUCAAUCCCAGCAAGCAAGCACUUGACUGUUGGGAUGAGGAGAAUGGGCAAAAUGGGGAUUUUGCCGCUCUUUGUGAGAAUCCCAGGGCAAAAGAAUACAUUCUUGGGGAACUUACAAAGCAUGCCAAAGCAAAGAAGUUAAAAUGUUUUGAAAUCCCGAAAGCUGUCCAUAUUGACCCAUUACCGUUUGACAUGGAGCGAGACCUUCUCACCCAAACCUAUAAGAAAAUGCGGCAACAGUUGCUCAAAUGUUACCAGGUUAGCCCUUCUUCACCCUUUCUGGGAGGUCCCUAUGAGAAACAACUAUGAUCUCUCAACGCAGUAGCAUUACCUCCUUUACUUGAAGUAUCAAUUGAUGAUAGCUUUAAAAUAAUUUGCUGAAAAUCAUGCAUUAUUUCCUGUAUGUUUUUGUGGACAUAAAGGAGUGUUGUAGAUUAAAGUAUAGAAAGAGGAGAGUGCCAAUAUCUAGAAAAUCGUCUGGUUUAGGUCUCAGAAGAAAUCUCCACUGUCCAUUCUGCUGUAGUGGUGAUUGGAACUUUUCAAGAGUUGGGUGGGCACACUGGAUGGGCCACGGGCCAAAGACUGCACUGAUGAAUCCUGUCUGAUUGAUGG